CGCGGGGUAGAGCAGAGGCAGCUCGUCAGGCUCAUAACCUGAAGGUCGCACGUUCGAGUCGUGCCCCCGCAACCA
rnacentral:tRNA from 1 species